rnacentral:rRNA from 1 species
AGUCGAACGCUUUGUGGUUCAACUGAUUUGAAGAGCUUGCUCAGAUAUGACGAUGAACAUUGCAAAGAGUGGCGAACGGGUGAGUAACACGUGGGAAACCUACCUCUUAGCAGGGGAUAACAUUUGGAAACAGAUGCUAAUACCGUAUAACAAUGACAACCGCAUGGUUGUUAUUUAAAAGAUGGUUCUGCUAUCACUAAGAGAUGGUCCCGCGGUGCAUUAGCUAGUUGGUAAGGUAAUGGCUUACCAAGGCGAUGAUGCAUAGCCGAGUUGAGAGACUGAUCGGCCACAAUGGGACUGAGACACGGCCCAUACUCCUACGGGAGGCAGCAGUAGGGAAUCUUCCACAAUGGGCGAAAGCCUGAUGGAGCAACGCCGCGUGUGUGAUGAAGGGUUUCGGCUCGUAAAACACUGUUGUAAGAGAAGAAUGACAUUGAGAGUAACUGUUCAAUGUGUGACGGUAUCUUACCAGAAAGGAACGGCUAAAUACGUGCCAGCAGCCGCGGUAAUACGUAUGUUCCAAGCGUUAUCCGGAUUUAUUGGGCGUAAAGCGAGCGCAGACGGUUAUUUAAGUCUGAAGUGAAAGCCCUCAGCUCAACUGAGGAAUUGCUUUGGAAACUGGAUGACUUGAGUGCAGUAGAGGAAAGUGGAACUCCAUGUGUAGCGGUGAAAUGCGUAGAUAUAUGGAAGAACACCAGUGGCGAAGGCGGCUUUCUGGACUGUAACUGACGUUGAGGCUCGAAAGUGUGGGUAGCAAACAGGAUUAGAUACCCUGGUAGUCCACACCGUAAACGAUGAGUGCUAGGUGUUUGAGGGUUUCCGCCCUUAAGUGCCGCAGCUAACGCAUUAAGCACUCCGCCUGGGGAGUACGACCGCAAGGUUGAAACUCAAAGGAAUUGACGGGGACCCGCACAAGCGGUGGAGCAUGUGGUUUAAUUCGAAGCAACGCGAAGAACCUUACCAGGUCUUGACAUCCCUUGACAACUCCAGAGAUGGAGCGUUCCCUUCGGGGACAAGGUGACAGGUGGUGCAUGGUUGUCGUCAGCUCGUGUCGUGAGAUGUUGGGUUAAGUCCCGCAACGAGCGCAACCCUUAUUACUAGUUGCCAGCAUUCAGUUGGGCACUCUAGUGAGACUGCCGGUGACAAACCGGAGGAAGGUGGGGAUGACGUCAAAUCAUCAUGCCCCUUAUGACCUGGGCUACACACGUGCUACAAUGGCGUAUACAACGAGUUGCCAACCCGCGAGGGUGAGCUAAUCUCUUAAAGUACGUCUCAGUUCGGAUUGUAGGCUGCAACUCGCCUACAUGAAGUCGGAAUCGCUAGUAAUCGCGGAUCAGCACGCCGCGGUGAAUACGUUCCCGGGUCUUGUACACACCGCCCGUCACACCAUGAGAGUUUGUAACACCCAAAGCCGGUGGGGUAACCUUCGGGAGCCAGCCGUCU